ACAUUCAGGACACUUGAGCACUUUAUACACUACCCUAGCCCUGGAGCUGUUUUUUAAUGUGAUAAUCUUGUUUGAUGCUUAAAAAAUAAACCCGUUUUGCAGUUGGAAAAAAAAAAAAAAAGAAGAAGGCGGCGCGGGCACCUGAGGAGGAGAAGCAGAUGAGAUCUUGGGGCUCGCCGGCAUUCCCCACCACUUCUGAGUAGCGCAGGAGUGGAGUCAGCACGAAGCCAGGCUCCCCACGCCCGCCUUGCCCUCACCUGCCCCUGCUCUCCGCCAGGGGCAGCAUGGUCCGAGGGGCACCAUGGGGCCCGACAGAGUGACAGCACGAGAACUGUGUGAGAACGACGACCUGGCCACCAGACUCAUCCUAGACCCCUACCUCAGUUUCCGCACCCAUAAGAUGAAUGUCAGCCCUGUGCCCCCGCUGCGGCAACAGCACCACCUGCACUCAGCGGUGGAAGCUUUCCCGGGGCCCGCGGCAUGAGGCUGCCCUCAAGACCGACGUCUAUCGCUACCUCUGUGCCUUCCUGCCGGAAAGUGGCUUUACCAUCCUGCCCUGGGCGCGCUACUCCAUGGAGACCAACAGGGCCAAGAUCGUGUCCACUCGUGCUUGGAAGUAGAAUGAGAAGCUGGAGCUGCUGGUGGGCUGCAUCGCAGAGCUGCGGGAGGCAGAUGAGGGGCUGCUGAGGGCCGGCGAGAAUGACUUCAGCAUCAUGUACUCUACCCGCAAGCGGAGUGCUCAGCUGCGGCUGGGCCCUGCUGCCUUCAUCAACCGUGACUGCAAACCCAACUGCAAGUUUGUGCCCGCAGAUGGGAACGCAGCCUGCGUGAAGGUGCUCCGGGACAUCGAGCCAGGGGAUGAGGUGACGUGCUUCUAUGGCGAGGGCUUCUUCGGUGAGAAGAAUGAGCACUGUGAAUGCUACACCUGUGAAAAUUGUAUGUUAUCCGUUGCUAUGUAAACUUGCUAUGCAUAU